UCAAAAGGUCACUCUUUGUGGGUGUCAGGAAUCUUACCUUUUGAAAUAUGGCAACCCUACCAGUUUUAGGGUAAGCUCCUUUUAUAGCUCCUCACAAUCCCCUUACAUUUUUACCACCUUCAGCAAUUUGAUGUCAUCAACAAAUUUGGCAAAGUCCCUGCUCACCCCUAUUUCCAGAUCGUUUAGGAAGAACUUUAAAAGCACAGGUCCCACUACAGAUACAUUCUGAUACUUAGAUCUGUGAGGUUUGAAGCCAAAAUCACAAACACAUGUUUUGCUUAGCUAAGUGCAUGACUAGUACACUGAGAGUUCUUGAACUUCCUAGAGAGGACUCUGUGAGGUCACUUCCUUUGCCACCUCUAGUCAGGAACUGUGUAACAAGGGCAACAAAACUAUAAGUCCUUCUGCCUGUGAGGAAGGCAGUCUUGACCAUGGUCUUCAGCCAUGUUAGCUAAGACUACCAACUUUUAUUUUACUGUAACUUAGAAGUAUUUUUAUGCACGCUACCUUGCUAUAUUUGCUUCCUGCCUCAAAAUAACAAUGCAAUUUUGACUCUGUAGGAUAGCAAUUCCUGUGCACACUGGCAAACUUUUGUGUGAGCAUCAGUGAUCUCCUUUGACAGCGUCUUCUUUCGUUCCAAAACAGAUUCUCAGCUGGAGGAGAUGGAGGAUCCAAUCUCCAAAGUGUAUAAAAUCUUGGUGGAGAAAUGCACGAACAUAUAUAGCCAAUUAAAAGAAAACUGGGAGAAGGAAUUUUAAGAUGGAGAUCCUUGAUGAAAAGUGAGUUCAACCAAAAGAAAGCACAGCUUAUUUCCUUGUGGCUAUAUGAUACAGAGGAGAAAUGACCGCUGCGAAGGAGUGCAGAGAGAAUAAAUGCCACGGUGUAUGUGCAGCAGCAUAACUGGAUGCCUUCAUCUGCCCCAGCUGCAACAAAACAUGUUUCUCCCAUAUCAGUCUCUACAGUCAGAGCAGAAAAUGUUGUUGGUUUCCACAAUCUCUCCGGAUGUCAGCCAGAUAUGCCUUAUGCGUUGUAACCCUACCCAUGUCUACUGCUGUUGAGUUCAAUGGCGCCUGCUCCCAGAUCUUUGAUAUCCUAUCAAAUAAUUAUCAUGCAGAAUUCCUCAGAAGGAUAAUUUACUCAGAUGGCUUUGGUUCCACAAAGGAGAAUUAUGAACCGUAAUAUUAAAAAAAAAGAAAGACGACUCAUGCCAGAAACAGCCCCUUUUUUGGCCAAUGCUGAUGUAUGAAGAAAGGAAAAGUCAAACCAGAUUCUGUAAACAAUAGCAAAAAUGUUCCUGCAAUGGACCUAAUCAGUGCUAUUCUAACAGCCAAGCCAGCAGAUGGAAACUUGUUUGCUGGAACUUCUGAAACUUUGCUUAGCAAGAGAAGAAAAGAUCCUUAGGAAUAAUUGACAGAUAAGAGAUGACGGAGAUAAAAAGAAAUGGACUGAGCCACUCGCCCUAUACAUAACAACUAUGGAUGGGGAGAAAAUGGAUCAGGAGAAGGAGACAUUCAUUAGAAAAACCAUGCUUUCACCUGCUUUCCAGUCCUUGAAAAACCAGCGGUACAAAUUAAAAGCAACCAACAGAAAUGGAACAGAGUCCACAGGGCCACUCAUCGGCCAUAGGAAGUUUCUUCUGGACAAGAUCCUGCAUGAAUAAAGCCUUUGAACUCCAGAAACUGUUAUUACUUCCAUCUAAUUCACCCAAGCUGCAAGAUCUGCUAUCAGUUCUUUGUAUAACUGAACAAAGCUAGAUGCUGUUGUAAGGAUUUCUUGUAAAUGGGAACUUAUUGGAUCUGACCCACCAGCCAAAACAGGUUCCUCAUGCCUGGUCUACAAGGAGAGGAAAAGUCCCCAGCAGGUCCUAUGUACAUAGAGGCUGAAGCCAGAUUUCUCAGCUACAGGCAACAGAGCUCGGAAAGCUUUGAGUCUUCAAGGAGUGCCCCUGAGAUAAUCUCAUAAUCACAUUGGAGUGUACCCACUAUCAUUUUUGCAAGAGACCCGACCUGGCCCUGGUUUUCUUUAACUGCCUACUCACCUUUAAAGGUUAAAAAGGGCGACGGAGGAAGAUCUUUCAGACAUGCAACAAAAUCCUAAAGACGUUUCCUCAAAAGAAAAUUCCAUGGGAUUUAGUAGGGCAUGAGUAGGCACACAGAGGAUUAUGCUGGUAAUAGGAACUCUGCUUUGUGUUAUAACAAAAUUAUUAUGCUGGAGCAAAAAACAAUAUAUGUCUUUUCUUUGUUGGACCAGGACAUCCAGAUUUCUUGUAAGGCAGAUUUUUUUGCAGCAGUUUUUAAAUUUGCUUUUAUUUCCAGUUAUGCAGUUACACUAUGACAUAGCAAGGCAGCUAGAUAGAUAAGGCUUCACUUAACUUUCCAUAGUUUCUAUUUAGAGGUUUUUAAAAAAGAUACUGCAAAAGAAUAUAAAUAUUUUCAUGGAAUAUAAGAACUAACAACUUUCUUUAAAAAAUGGCUACUUUUCCCCUGGAGACACAACCUUGCCUGGAAAUUGACCUCUUUCACCCAAAGCAAGAAGCACACCUACCCUUAGACCAACAAACCAGAACUAAAAAACAAAAAAGCAGUUUGAUUUAAUGUUCCUUUUUUUUUUUUGCCAAUUCCUCCCCAUGUUUGCUGCUCCUUUGACAACGUUUCACACACACACAACAUGUACACACCUUUUGUCUAUCUGGAUUCACUACACAGAUGGCACCAACUAACAGUAGCACGAUGCAACUAAUAGUAGCAUCAGGAUGCCAUGCAGCCAGAUUUGGCUGUGUGACAACUUUGCUGAGGGCUCGGCAAGGAAAGAAAAUAAGAAUAAAAGCAGUCUAUGUGCAUGAGCAGGAAGACACACACACACACACACGUGCCAAAAAUAGUCAAAACAGCAUGGAGCAUUUUCAACACUGCUGAAAAUAUAUGUGAAAAUCUGAUAGUAGUUCAAUCUAGAAAUAACCUGUUGCAAAGUCUGUUUCAUGACUUUCUUAUUUGGUAAAAGGUUGCAGAAUAAUUGCUUUGAAUUGGGCUGUAUUCAGCGUAGUGCUAAGAGGAACAUCCCAUCACCACAAGGAUAUCUCUUUGUGUAAUGCAACAUUUUCUCCCCUCUGCAACUCCUAAAUUUGUUCUGGGGGUUACCCCACCCCUCUGGAGAGUUUGGAUUUGAUAUCGCG